GAUGAACGCUGGCGGCGUGCCUAAUACAUGCAAGUCGAGCGAACAGACGAGGAGCUUGCUCCUUUGACGUUAGCGGCGGACGGGUGAGUAACACGUAGGUAACCUACCUAUAAGACUGGGAUAACUUCGGGAAACCGGAGCUAAUACCGGAUAAUAUUUCGAACCGCAUGGUUCGAUAGUGAAAGAUGGCUUUGCUAUCACUUAUAGAUGGACCUGCGCCGUAUUAGCUAGUUGGUAAGGUAACGGCUUACCAAGGCAACGAUACGUAGCCGACCUGAGAGGGUGAUCGGCCACACUGGAACUGAGACACGGUCCAGACUCCUACGGGAGGCAGCAGUAGGGAAUCUUCCGCAAUGGGCGAAAGCCUGACGGAGCGACGCCGCGUGAGUGAUGAAGGUCUUCGGAUCGUAAAACUCUGUUAUUAGGGAAGAACAAACGUGUAAGUAACUGUGCACGUCUUGACGGUACCUAAUCAGAAAGCCACGGCUAACUACGUG
rnacentral:rRNA from 1 species